rnacentral:rRNA from 1 species
GACGAACGCUGGCGGCAUGCCUAAUACAUGCAAGUCGAGCGAACAGAUGAAGUGCUUGCGCUUCUGACGUUAGCGGCGAACGGGUGAGUAACACGUAAGGAAUCUACCUAUAAGCGGGGGAUAACAUUCGGAAACGGGUGCUAAUACCGCAUAAUAUCUUCUUCCGCAUGGAAGAAGAUUGAAAGACGGCUCUGCUGUCAAUUAUCGAUGACCUUGCGGUGCAUUAGUUAGUUGGUGGGGUAAUGGCCUACCAAGACGAUGAUGCAUAGCCGACCUGAGAGGGUGAUCGGCCACAUUGGGACUGAGACACGGCCCAAACUCCUACGGGAGGCAGCAGUAGGGAAUCUUCCGCAAUGGGCGAAAGCCUGACGGAGCAAUGCCGCGUGAGUGAAGAAGGCCUUCGGGUCGUAAAACUCUGUUAUAAGAGAAGAACAAAUUGUAGAGUAACUGCUACAGUCUUGACGGUAUCUUAUCAGAAAGCCACGGCUAACUACGUGCCAGCCGCCGCCGUAA